UUGGCACCGGUUUAGAGCGAACCGGUGGCAAUUAUUGCAAUUAGCUCCGGUUCGAACCGAUACCAUUUAAAACAACAAAAAGCCGAGUUUUUUACAUAACUCCUUCAUUUCUCCUUCAAUUCGUUUUUCAUUCUCUCUCCUUCAAUUCCUUAUCUCUCAUCUCUGUUCUUCUCUCUCCAACCAAGCACGACAACCAACACAACAAUCAAGCCGCCGCCGUCAACCACAACAAACAUCACCGCCGCCUAAAAUCAGAAAUUUGAGGUUUGAUAUUUCUGAUUUUUUUAAUUUUUGGUUUGAAGGUCGUGAAUUUGCUGAGUAUGAAGUUCGAAGUUUCUGGGUUGUAAAAUAACAAAUUCAGCAAUUUCUCUGUUUUUCUUUUUAAUAAAUUGUAAAAUAACAAUUUAUUUGAUGAAUAUAGCCUUGUUCAAUUUAUUGUUUUGGAUUGUAUGCUGAAAUUGGAUUGAUGAAUAAAUUGGAUUGAUGAAUAAAUUGUAUGCUGAAA